UCCCAGAUAGCUUAGAUGGUAAAGAAUCUGCCUGUAAUGCAGAAGACCUGAGUUUUAUCCCUGGAUUGGGAA
rnacentral:tRNA from 1 species